rnacentral:rRNA from 1 species
AGAGUUUGAUCCUGGCUCAGGAUGAACGCUAGCUACAGGCUUAACACAUGCAAGUCGAGGGGAAACGACAUCGAAAGCUUGCUUUUGAUGGGCGUCGACCGGCGCACGGGUGAGUAACGCGUNUCCAACCUGCCCAUCACUUGGGGAUAACCUUGCGAAAGUAAGACUAAUACCCAAUGAUAUCUCUAGAAGACAUCUGAAAGAGAUUAAAGAUUUAUCGGUGAUGGAUGGGGAUGCGUCUGAUUAGCUUGUUGGCGGGGUAACGGCCACCAAGGCUACGAUCAGUAGGGGUUCUGAGAGGAAGGUCCCCCACAUUGGAACUGAGACACGGUCCAAACUCCUACGGGAGGUA